UACGUAGGUGGCAAGCGUUGUCCGGAUUUACUGGGUGUAAAGGGCGUGUAGGCGGGAUGGUAAGUCAGAUGUGAAAUACCGGGGCUCAACUCCGGGGCUGCAUUUGAAACUGCCGUUCUUGAGUGUCGGAGAGGAAAGCGGAAUUCCUAGUGUAGCGGUGAAAUGCGUAGAUAUUAGGAGGAACACCAGUGGCGAAGGCGGCUUUCUGGACGAUAACUGACGCUGAGGCGCGAAAGCGUGGGGAGCAAACAGG
rnacentral:rRNA from 1 species